CCUACGUGCGGCAGCAGUGGGGAAUAUUGCACAAUGGGGGAAACCCUGAUGCAGCGACGCCGCGUGAAGGAAGAAGUAUUUCGGUAUGUAAACUUCUAUCAGCAGGGAAGAAAAUGACGGUACCUGACUAAGAAGCCCCGGCUAACUACGUGCCAGCAGCCGCGGUAAUACGUAGGGGGCAAGCGUUAUCCGGAUUUACUGGGUGUAAAGGGAGCGUAGGCGGCGAUGCAAGUCAGAAGUGAAAGCCCGGGGCUCAACUCCGGGACUGCUUUUGAAACUGUGUUGCUAGAUUGCAGGAGAGGUAAGUGGAAUUCCAAGUGGAGCGGUGAAAUGAGGAGAUAUUAGGAGGAACAGCAGGGGCGAAGGCGGCUUACUGGAGUAUAAAUGACGCUGAGGAUCGAAAGCGUGGGGAGCAAACAGGAUUAGAUACACGAGUAGUC
rnacentral:rRNA from 1 species